rnacentral:lncRNA from 1 species
GGGAAACUGCCCCCAUGAUUCAGUUACCUCCACCUCGCCUCUCCCUUGACUUGUGGGAAUUACAAGGAUUAUACUUCAAGAUGAGAUUUGGCUGGGGACACAAAGCCUGAGCAUAUCACUAUCGCUCUCAGUCUUGUCCGACUGGCCUCGUGUAGGAGAAGGCUCUCACCUAUCUGUCUGACCAGAGAUUUUAAGAGACGAGGUCUCACUAUGUUGUCCAGGCUGUACAGAUGUGAACCACCGCACCCAGCUAAGAUGAUUUUUAUGCAAGACAGGGUCUCACUCUGACGUCCUUGGCUGGAGUGCAGUGGUAUGAUCACCACUCACUGCAGCCUCAACCUCCCUGGGCUCAAGAGAUCCUCCCACCUCAGCCUCCCAAGUACCUGAGACUACAGGAACAUGCCACCACACCCAGCUCAACAGCUGGUUUCUAUUCUCCACUCUUGUUUGUCUAAACAUACCUGCUAUACUUUGCUGACAGGAAAUAAACCCAUGUAUCUGAUAUCAUCACCGUAAACUAACACUUGGUUGAGUCAACCUACCAGAGUCCUCAGACUAGGGAUUUCUAGCAAAAUUUCAGCCCUCAGGCAGAAGACUUCUCUGGGGGAAGAUGCUAGCCCAAGAACAUGUAACUAGAAAAGGAAAGAGGAAAGUUAAUGAAAGAGAUAUGAUUGUGGUUAUAGUCUUGGUAUUUUUGGUAAUGUACUUCAUGUUCCCUUUUCUCUAAUUUUUUAGGGGGUUAGGCAUAUGAUAUAGCCUUUUUCUUUCCCCUGGCUCUGGUCUCUAACACUCAGUUUAGCAAAACUUACCUGUGCCAGCUGGAAUAAACACUCUUUUUUAAAAAAAGUCCUUGGUCAAUGGGCUACCUCAUAAACAUCUCUAAUGGUGUUAUCUACAUCUACACCAAGAAUAGACUCACUCCUUGACUGCCAAAUCCUAUCUUUUUUUUUUUUUUUUUUUUUUUGGAGACAGGGUCCCACUCUGUCAACCCAGGCUGGAGUGCAGUGGUACAAUCACCGCUCACUGCAGGCUCAACCUCCCCGGGCUCAGGAGAUCCUCCGACCUCAGCCUCCCAAGUAGCUGGAACUAAGGCGUGCGCCAUCACACCCAGCUAAUUUUUGUAUUUUUUUUCUAGAGACUUGAUUUCACCAUGUUGCCCAGGCUGGUCUCAAACUCCUAAGCUCAAGCCAUCCACCCUCUUCGGCCUCCCAAAGUGCUGAGGUUACAGGCAUGAGCUACCACACUCAGCCUCCAACCAAUCUUUUAGAUUGGGAAUGGAGUUUGUCUCAGAUGAUAGAUUUUUAUGAAGCCACAUGCCAAAUUUGUUAGAAUAGUUUCCCUCAUGUGCACACCUCGCAGAAACUCAGAAUCAUCCCCUCAGUAAUUUUCAUCCCCCGUCAUGCCCAUUUACAAUUAAUCCCUGUUCUCACUUCCAGCCCCAGGCAGCUACUACUCUACUUACCGCCUCUAUAAAUUUGCCUUUCCUGCACAUUUCACGUAAGUGAAAUCAUGCCACAUGAAGCCUCUUAGGUCUGGCUCCUUUCACUUAGCAUAAUGUUUUUGAGGUUCAUCCACAACAUAGCAUGUGUCAUCACGUUUCAUUGCUGCAGUCUUCUACUGUAUGGAUUUACCACAUUUUGUCUAUCCACUCACCAGCUGCUAAAAAUUUAGGUUAUUGCCAGGUGCGGUGGCGCACGUCUGUAAUCCCAGCACUUUGGGAGGCCGAGACAGGUGUAUCACCUGAGGUCAGGAGUUCAAGACCAGUCUGACCAACAUGGCGAAACCCUGUAUCUACUAAAAAAUACAAAAAUUAGCCAGGCAUGGUGGUGUGUGCCUGUACUCCCAGAUACUUGGGAGGCUGAGGCAGGAGAAUCGCUUGAAUCCAGGAAGCAGAGGUUACAGUGAGCCAAGAUCACGCCAUUACGCUCCAGCCUGGGCAACAAGACCAAAAUUCCGU